rnacentral:rRNA from 1 species
UACGAAGGGGGGCUAGCGUUGCUCGGAAUCACUGGGCGUAAAGCGCACGUAGGCGGAUUGUUAAGUCAGGGGUGAAAUCCUGGAGCUCAACUCCAGAACUGCCUUUGAUACUGGCGAUCUUGAGUCCGGGAGAGGUGAGUGGAACUGCGAGUGUAGAGGUGAAAUUCGUAGAUAUUCGCAAGAACACCAGUGGCGAAGGCGGCUCACUGGUCCAUUACUGACGCUGAGGUGCGAAAGCGUGGGGAGCAA